GCGUUGUCCGGAAUUAUUGGGCGUAAAGAGCUCGUAGGCGGUCUGUCACGUCGGCUGUGAAACCCCGAGGCUCAACCUCGGGCCUGCAGUCGAUACGGGCAGACUAGAGUUUGGUAGGGGAGACUGGAAUUCCUGGUGUAGGGGGGAGAGGCGGAGAUAUCAGGAGGAACACCGGUGGCGAAGGCGGGUCUCUGGGCCAAAACUGACGCUGAGGAGCGAAAGCGUG
rnacentral:rRNA from 1 species